ACAGUGGCGGCCCAGGAUGAGUUCUACCGCAGCGGCUGGGCCCUGAACAUGAAGGAGCUGAAGCUGCUGCAGACCAUCGGGAAGGGGGAGUUCGGAGGUGAGCUGGGCCGGGCCGCCUGGGGGGGUUCUGAGGGACUCCGAACUUGGGAACAAGACCACCUCUCUGCCCCCAGACGUGAUGCUGGGCGAUUACCGAGGGAACAAAGUCGCUGUCAAGUGCAUUAAGAACGACGCCACUGCCCAGGCCUUCCUGGCUGAAGCCUCAGUCAUGACGCAACUGCGGCAUAGCAACCUGGUGCAGCUCCUGGGCGUGAUCGUGGAGGAGAAGGGCGGGCUCUACAUCGUCACUGAGUACAUGGCCAAGGGGAGCCUCGUGGACUACCUGCGGUCUCGGGGUCGGUCAGUGCUGGGCGGAGACUGUCUCCUCAAGUUCUCGCUAGAUGUCUGCGAGGCCAUGGAAUACCUGGAGGGCAACAAUUUCGUGCAUCGAGACCUGGCUGCCCGCAAUGUGCUGGUGUCUGAGGACAACGUGGCCAAGGUCAGCGACUUUGGUCUCACCAAGGAGGCGUCCAGCACCCAGGACACGGGCAAGCUGCCAGUCAAGUGGACAGCCCCUGAGGCCCUGAGAGAGAAGGUGGGGCUGGCCUCCCCUGGGGCCUACAGAGGUGGGCAGGAGUCCUGGGUCACUCCCCACCCCUGGAGUCCCAGGAUCUGACGCUGCUUCUUCCAUCCACAUGGCAGAAAUUCUCCACUAAGUCUGACGUGUGGAGUUUCGGAAUCCUUCUCUGGGAAAUCUACUCCUUUGGGCGAGUGCCUUAUCCAAGAAUUCCCCUGAAGGACGUCGUCCCUCGGGUGGAGAAGGGCUACAAGAUGGAUGCCCCCGACGGCUGCCCGCCCGCAGUCUAUGAGGUCAUGAAGAACUGCUGGCACCUGGACGCCGCCAUGCGGCCCUCCUUCCUACAGCUCCGAGAGCAGCUUGAGCACAUCAAAACCCACGAGCUGCACCUGUGACGGCUGGCCUCCGCCUGGGUCAUGGGCCUGUGGGGACUGAACCU
rnacentral:sRNA from 1 species